ACGUACACUCCUACGGGAGGCAGCAGUGGGGAAUAUUGGACAAUGGGCGCAAGCCUGAUCCAGCCAUGCCGCGUGAGUGAUGAAGGCCCUAGGGUUGUAAAGCUCUUCCACCGGUGAAGAUAAUGACGGUAACCGGAGAAGAAGCCCCGGCUAACUUCGUGCCAGCAGCCGCGGUAAUACGAAGGGGGCUAGCGUUGUUCGGAUUUACUGGGCGUAAAGCGCACGUAGGCGGACUAUUAAGUCAGGGGUGAAAUCCCGGGGCUCAACCCCGGAACUGCCUUUGAUACUGGUAGUCUUGAGUUCGAGAGAGGUGAGUGGAAUUCCGAGUGUAGAGGUGAAAUUCGUAGAUAUUCGGAGGAACACCAGUGGCGAAGGCGGCUCACUGGCUCGAUACUGACGCUGAGGUGCGAAAGCGUGGGGAGCAAACAGGAUUAGAUACCCGAGUAGUCCCAUG
rnacentral:rRNA from 1 species